rnacentral:rRNA from 1 species
CCUACGGGGGGCAGCAGUGAGGAAUAUUGGUCAAUGGGCGAGAGCCUGAACCAGCCAAGCCGCGUGAAGGAGGAAGGAACUAUGGUUCGUAAACCUCUUUUAUAGGGGAAUAAAGUGAGGAACGUGUCCCCUUAUGUAUGUACCAUAUGAAUAAGCAUCGGCUAACUCCGUGCCAGCAGCCGCGGUAAUACGGAGGAUGCGAGCGUUAUCCGGAUUUAUUGGGUUUAAAGGGUGCGUAGGUGGUUAAUUAAGUCAGCGGUCAAAGUUCGUGGCUCAACCCUAAGAUUGCCGUUGAAACUGGUUGACUUGAGUGUAUGUGAGGUAGGCGGAAUGCGUGGUGUAGCGGUGAAAUGCAUAGAUAUCACGCAGAACUCCGAUUGCGAAGGCAGCUUGCUGAACUAAAACUGACGCUGAGGCACGAAAGCGUGGGGAUCAAACAGGAUUAGAUACCCUUGUAGUC